CUGAACCUCCCAGACGCCCGCAACCGCCUCAAAUCAGUCGCAAGUGAGCCACCGUUCCUGCCCGGCCUCUUUCCGCCCCAAGCCCGCCGGCGCUUCGCCGGGAUUUUGCCCGCUCGCCACCGUGCGCCGCCCGAGGACCCGAUUGCGAUUGAGAAAAUCGAAUCAAGGGCUUUAGUGCAAAAACCAGGGACCCCUACACAAAUAAAGUAUAGACGCAAGGGUUAGAUCGCAAGCUCACCUCGGUUUUUUGUUUUAUAAUCGGC
rnacentral:lncRNA from 1 species